rnacentral:misc_RNA from 1 species
UGCUUUAAGCUUCCUUCUAGCCCAC